rnacentral:rRNA from 1 species
UACGGGGGGGGCAAGCGUUAAUCGGAAUUACUGGGCGUAAAGCGCGCGUAGGCGGCUUUGCAAGUCGGGUGUGAAAUCCCCAGGCUUAACCUGGGAACUGCAUUCGAGACUGCAUUGCUAGAGUAUGGGAGAGGGAAGUGGAAUUUCCGGUGUAGCGGUGAAAUGCGUAGAUAUCGGAAGGAACAUCAGUGGCGAAAGCGACUUCCUGGACCAAUACUGACGCUCAUGUGCGAAAGCGUGGGGAGCAAACAGG